rnacentral:rRNA from 1 species
AUUGAACGCUGGCGGCAGGCCUAACACAUGCAAGUCGAGCGGGGUUUUCGGACCUAGCGGCGGACGGGUGAGUAAUGCGUAGGAAGCUACCCGAUAGAGGGGGAUACCAGUUGGAAACGACUGUUAAUACCGCAUAAUGUCUACGGACCAAAGUGUGGGACCUUCGGGCCACAUGCUAUCGGAUGCGCCUACGUGGGAUUAGCUAGUUGGUGAGGUAAUGGCUCACCAAGGCGACGAUCCCUAGAUGGUUUGAGAGGAUGAUCAGCCACACGGGAACUGAGACACGGCCCAGACUCCUACGGGAGGCAGCAGUGGGGAAUAUUGGACAAUGGGCGCAAGCCUGAUCCAGCCAUGCCGCGUGUGUGAAGAAGGCCUUCGGGUUGUAAAGCACUUUCAGCGAGGAGGAAGGGGUGAGUGUUAAUAGUACUCAUCUUUGACGUUACUCGCAGAAGAAGCACCGGCUAACUCUGUGCCAGCAGCCGCCGUAAGAC